CAGUAGCCACGGUAAUACGAGGGGGGCAAGCGUUGUUCGGAAUUAUUGGGCGUAAAGGGCGCGUAGGCGGUUUGGCAAGUUUCGUGUGAAAUCUUCGGGCUCAACUCGAAGUCUGCACGGAAAACUGCCGGGCUUGAGUAUGGGAGAGGUGAGUGGAAUUUCCGGUGUAGCGGUGAAAUGCGUAGAUAUCGGAAGGAACACCUGUGGCGAAAGCGGCUCACUGGACCAUAACUGACGCUGAGGCGCGAAAGCUAGGGGAGCAAACAGGAUUAGAUACCCCAGUAGUCCCUGUCUCUUAUAC
rnacentral:rRNA from 1 species